UAGGGAAUAUUAGAAAUGGACGAAAGUCUGAUCUAGCAACACCGCGUGUGCGAAGAAGGCCUUCGGGUCGUAAAGCACUUUUUGGAAGGAAUAGGAAGGAAUGUACUUCCAGAAUAAGUCUCGGCUAACUACGUGCCAGCAGCCGCGGUAACACGUAGGAGGCAAACGUAAUCCGGAUUUACUGGGCGUAAAGCGCGUGUAGGUGGUACUGUAAGUAGGGCGUGAAAGCUCCUGGCUCAACUGGGAGAGGCCGUUCUAAACUACAGAACUAGAGGAUGGUAGAGGGAGGUGGAAUUCCAGGUGUAGCGGUGGAAUGCGCAGAUAUCUGGAGGAACACCGGUGGCGAAGGCGGCCACCUGCACCAUUCCUGACACUCAGACGCGAAAGCUAGGGUAGCAAACG
rnacentral:rRNA from 1 species